UCCACACAUGCGCACUGUGGACCCGGGACGAGUUGGCUGCUAAGCAGGACAGGCAGCGACGGCAAAAACACCCAGCCGGUCGGAUAAAUAUCCUGGGCGGGCCGCAUGUGGCCCGUGGGCCAUAGUUUGAGGACGCCUGAUUUAGAGGAAGAAAAUUUCUAAGCUGUGAACACCUCGUGGGACAGGGACCAUCUUUGCAUCCCCCAUGGUGACUUCUAGCAGAAUGCGUUGUACUGAACUCCUUAACAUUUGUGUGGCAAUUGCCGGUAUAAGAUUGACUUUGCAGUGUGACUACACGACACAUCAUAAAGCAUCCACAAAAGACGAAAGAUACUAGAAUAAGCCAACUGAUAACUGAGCUUUGAUAUAUUGAGCUGCUAUCAUCUCUCUUUUUACUUAACGAAUUCUUUGAAAGGAAGUUGGAAA